ensembl:lncRNA
GUCCAGUUGGCAGUGUUCCUAACGCAGCUCAGGUCAUGGCAACAGCCCUACCAAGUUGGCUGGUAGUGACCACAGUUAAGUUUUGGGCUAGGAAAGAGAAAUAUUUGGCUAGUCAAUUAAAACCGAGAAAGCUGGUUAACUCUGAAGGCCUCAGCUCAUCCAACUGAGAGCAGAUUAGCCCAGAUGGAGACAUUUUCAACACGGUGCUGUCUGGCCAAUCAGAGACAGCUGGGAUUAGCCAAAUACCUUCUCUCAUCUGCUUGCUCACAGAAAGGCCAACAUAUUCAAAGUCCAAAUAAUGUAUUUCUUCAAAAGUGACCAUUCUGGCUAAUAUGAUCCACUCUUACCUGGCGCCCACGAAUUGGCCUUCUCUCUUCACCUCCACUCUGGAUUUCGACCUGAAGUUUGACCUCCAUGGGUCUUCAGUUUAAAGGGCAAGCCCUAGGAAAUGCAGAAAGAGUUCAGAUAAUUGUGGGCCUUCUUUGGUUCUUUUUGCCCUAUGAGUUCCUGCUCCUGCUUUCAGUUUUGGACUGGAGCAACCAGCUGGCGCUCUACCAGUAUCUGGGAGCUGUAUUAUGAAAGCCAAGCUUUGGGGAUGAUAAAGCAAAAAGGCCCCUGAUAGUACCAUGGAACUCCCUGACCAGCAAUGAAGGGGCUCCUUCCAGACUCCUUUAGCACAACAGAAAAAUAAACUUCUAUCUUAUUUAAACUACUGCCAUUUCCUGUCUCUGAUACUAGUAGCUCAACAUACUUUUUCUAAGUGAUUCAGACCAUUAUAAAUUUCUGUUGCCGGUAAUUGGACAUAUGUAGCAGACAAACUAAUCCCAUUAAGACUAGUGUGUUAUUUUUUACCCCACAAUUGAAGACUCUUUUUGAUUGGCUUAAAUCAGUGGUUCUCCACUGAGGGUGGUUUUCUCCCCCUCCCCCCAGGAUAUCUGACAACAUCUGGAGACACUUUGGUGGUCACAGCUGGGGGAGGGGGGGCUUGUACUGGCAUCUAGUGGGUAGAGGCCAGACAUGCUGCUAUUGUCUUAUGGUGCACAGGACGCAGCCCUGCAACAAAAAAUUAUCCAGACCAAAAUAUUAAUGGUGCCAAGGUUAAGAAGCCCUGGGUUAAAUCUUUAUUAAUUAAGUUGCUUACGCAGCCCACCUAACCAUUAACUGUUGAUUAAUGUUUUUUUUUUUGUAAUGUGAGCCUACUUUUUGACUUUGCCUACACAGAAAAUGGUCAUUUUUCCUUACAUCAUAAGGUAAAGUUUAUUAAAUAAAGGUGUGUUUUACUUUUGUGACUAGAUGGCGGAAGUGGGUAAUGAACCAGGUAUCGGCCCGAUGAAUUCUCCUACAGAAAAGUAGAAUAAUACGAAGAAACACAAGAAAGCACCAAGUAAUGAAAAGGCUCAUUGUUACAGACACAACCGUUAAGACAAUGAUGCUGGAGAGUGAAAUAAAGAUGGUGAUGCAGCUCAGUGAACGUUUGAUUGGAAAUGAAGCUGUAGUUGAAUUGGGAAUUGAGACACUGGAAUAAGAUUCCUACUAUGGGAAAGCUGGAACCAAAGGCGGAGGGGCGCUAAUGUCAAGGAAUGUGCCUGUGAUAUUCCUGCUGAGAGAGCCUGCUUCUCAGGGAGCCUGAACCUUUCUCGAGUGAGAAUUCGAAUGCUGCAGGAGCUGGAGUUUGAAGGAAAGGGUGACAAAUGUAAGGACAGAGAGCCACCGAUUAGUCACCGAGGUCUCAAUUGCAUCACUUAUGGCCCUGAAUAUCCUAACAUCUGCAACUUGUUUUGU